AUUGAACGCUGGCGGCAUGCUUUACACAUGCAAGUCGAACGGUAACAGGCCUUCGGGUGCUGACGAGUGGCGAACGGGUGAGUAAUGCAUCGGAACGUGCCCAAUCGUGGGGGAUAACGUAGCGAAAGUUACGCUAAUACCGCAUAAGCCCUGAGGGGGAAAGCAGGGGAUCGCAAGACCUUGCGCGAAUGGAGCGGCCGAUGUCAGAUUAGCUAGUUGGUGGGGUAAACGGCCUACCAAGGCGACGAUCUGUAGCGGGUCUGAGAGGAUGAUCCGCCACACUGAGACUGAGACACGGCCCAGACUCCUACGGGAGGCAGCAGUGGGGAAUUUUAGACAAUGGGCGCAAGCCUGAUCCAGCCAUGCCGCGUGCGGGACGAAGCCUUCGGUGUAACCGCUUCAGCCGGAAGAAUACGCCAAGGCUAAUAUCCUUGGUGGAUGACGGUACCGGAAGAAGAAGCACCGG
rnacentral:rRNA from 1 species